CUCGGCCAUUCAUGAAGCGCACCCAACGGGCCACUGCCCGAUUUACGAGUUUCCUGGUUUUUUCAAUGGCCAUACAGCUCAGCGCAGCACGCCAAAAAAUUCUCUUCAGGAAGGAGGACCAGAACACCGUUGUUCUGGGGCACAAGGCAGCAAACGCAUCCAAGUCUCUUUUUAUAUUCCACAACAAGUCCGCACUCCUUCUGUAAGCAAGGUCAUUUUCCCUAAUUGAAUGACAAGGAUGCCGGGAGGGCCGAACGUGGCGACUUUUUCCCACAGCAAUGGCAUAAGCUCUUCCCAGCGCCUGCCUCUUCUCGAGAACCAGGAAACUCGAACACCGUGUGGCAGACCAAGAUUAGGCGCAAGGCCGCAG